rnacentral:rRNA from 1 species
UACGUAGGGACCAAGCGUUGUUCGGAUUUACUGGGCGUAAAGGGCGCGUAGGCGGCGUGUUAAGUCAGCUGUGAAAUCUCCAAGCUUAACUUGGAACGGUCAGCUGAUACUGAUGUGCUAGAGUGCAGAAGGGGCAAUCGGAAUUCUUGGUGUAGCGGUGAAAUGCGUAGAUAUCAAGAGGAACACCUGAGGUGAAGACGGGUCUCUGGGCCGAUACUGACGCUGAGGAGCGAAAGCGUGGGGAGCGAACAGG